AUGUCUGACGCAUGGGGUCAAGAUCUGAGAAACUAUCCUCCCCCCCGCCCCCACUGUCCGUACCAGCCACGACUGGCAAAGUGCCAGGUGCCUUCUCUGGGGUCCCUCAUUUCCCACAGACCAGGCCCAGCCCUCAACCAUCCCAGCAGUCCCCACGCACUGUCCAAAUGUCCCCCAGUCACGUCCACCUCACCUCCAGGGCCAUCCCUGACUCCUCACCUGCUCACCCGUCUUCCUUCCCUUAACUUUGCUCUAUACCCUCAGUUUCCCCCCCUCCCCAACUCCUCUCUCCUCCAGACACCUCAACUCCCCCUCCUCUCCCCUGCUUUCUCGCAAGCACUCAGUCAACCAUCUCUGGCUCCUCACCUGCCUCCUCCAACCUCACCUCUUUCAGCAUCCUCUACGUGGGACUCGCUCAGCUCUCUCCCUUCACCCCCAUUUCGUCCCCCCAACUCCUCCCCCAGCCCUGCUCUCUUUACUCCAGUCCCCUACCCUCUCGACCAACCUGAGCACCUGCUGGGGAAGAGGCGGGGCCUCCUCCUCACCUGGCGGCCGCAGAGCAGCGGGGCAGCGGCCCCUAGCGGUCGGGGUGGGAAGUGCAACCCAACUGGCCUCCCCUCCCAGUUGGUGCCUUACUGGGAAUGGACCACCAUAGCUGCCUGCCAGCUGUUGCUCAGACUGGACCUGGGUGGCUUCCUGGACUCUUGUUUCUUGGGAGUGAGGAAGGUGCAGCGUCCGCACUGUGAUCCAGAGGUGACAUUUGAGAAGUUCUGCUGGGGAAGGGGGAUUCAAAGACUAACGUGUCCUAUUGGCUCUGUCCCUAGGCUGUGCCUCAAAUCUGGCCCUUUCUCCCCAGCACCCUGUUCCAGGCCUCCAUCACCUCUCAGCUGGAUUGACUGUGGAAUCCAUCUCCCCAGUCUCCUGGCUCCUUCUCAAAUCUUACCAGGGCCAGAAGGUUCCUGUGAACAUAUAAGUCAGGGGAAAACCCUCCUCUGCCUAGAACCUUCCAUUGCUCCCAGGUGA
ensembl:lncRNA